GGAGUUCCUAAGGCCGCCUGCGGCCCGGCAAUUACCCCCUGGGUCCUCUCACACUUAGCAGUGGGUGUCAGAUGGUGGAAGGGAACGCUCAGGGAGGCCCCGGGCGGUGAGUUGUCCCUCGGGCGGGGACGCCCUCGUGGGCAGUGCGGCGUGGACGGCGCAAGGAAGAACCCGGAGAGAUCCCAAGCCACGAGGCACCGCUUCCGGCGCAUUGUGAGGUCCCACCUUUCCCGCCGCCUGAGGUCGCGGCGGCUGCUCUUUCCCGGAGCAGCGUCCCUGGAGGCGCUGCCAGGGGGUGAGGCACCCACGCGUGCACCGUAUGUACCCCCCAGCGCGGCGCUUAGAACGACUCGCAUGAGUCGCUGCCUUGGGUUGGAACCGGUUACUCCGCCGCUUCGUACUGGACUGCAAAGUAACAAGUACUUCGCCGGGCAGCGGUGCCGACCCCGUGUGCUACGGCGAGAGGUGCUUAGCCUAGAGCCGACGAAAACAUGUCCCCAGGACUCCCUUUCCCUCCCAGACUGCGUCCCACCAGAUGGAGCUUUCCGUCUGUUUUAACCACCAGUGUAUUCCUGAUGCCUGACCCAGGCGCUGAAAUAUUUGUUGAACGAAUAAAUGUGUAGGUUAGGACUGACGACAGUCCGCGAAUUCUGGAACACGGGCUGAUUUUACUUUUGAACAAAUGAUGCACUGGAACUUCCUGACAGAGCUGACCUUUUAUAGGAACAUCAAUGGCAGUCACCGCUGGCAUUUUAGCAAAGGUUGUCUUGGUCAUAAUUUCCCCUUGACUGUGUUUCCAGCCCUUAAUCUAUAUCGGGUGGGACCUGGAAGUCUACCUUCUCGCCACCCCUCGGCAAAAGUUUGAGAAAGUGUUUGAGGCAGAGCCUCCUCUCUCAUAUGCCCUCCAUCUGCGAAUUAGAACGAAUUAUAAGUUCUACGGUGUCACAUAGGGGGUUAGCGGAGAGGAAGAGGGAAAGAAUCAAAUACAGGACGCUGCCUUAACCAAAGUUCUAAACUCUAAAUGUAAUAAUGUGCAUUUGUGAGUCCUCAGGAAGUUUCACAAAGGCUUUCCCUUUUUUCACAGAAUGUCUAGUAGGACUGGUGACUCCGAAUGGGAAAAACACAGGACCUAGACCUGCCCUGUCCAUUAGUGUAGCCCCUUGGCCACUUAGGGCCACUGAGCACUUGAAAUGAGGCUAGUUCGUUUAGGAGGCACUGGAAGUGCAAAAUACGCACGGGUGUCAGUUCGACGAAUGUGAAAUACCUCACUGAUCACUUUUUAUAUUGAUUGCACGUUGAAAUAUUUUGGAUAUAUUGCAGUAAAGAAAAUACCAGCCUGGGCAAUAUAGGGAAACCCCCGUCUAU
rnacentral:lncRNA from 10 species